rnacentral:rRNA from 1 species
GGUUGUAAACUGCUUUUGUACGGAACGAAAAGCCUCUUUCUAAUAAAGAGAGGUCAUGACGGUACCGUAAGAAUAAGCACCGGCUAACUACGUGCCAGCAGCCGCGGUAAUACGUAGGGUGCAAGCGUUAAUCGGAAUUACUGGGCGUAAAGCGUGCGCAGGCGGUAAUGUAAGACAGAUGUGAAAUCCCCGGGCUCAACCUGGGAACUGCAUUUGUGACUGCAUUGCUGGAGUGCGGCAGAGGGGGAUGGAAUUCCGCGUGUAGCAGUGAAAUGCGUAGAUAUGCGGAGGAACACCGAUGGCGAAGGCAAUCCCCUGGGCCUGCACUGACGCUCAUGCACGAAAGCGUGGGGAGCAAACAGGAUUAGAUACCCUGGUAGUCCACGCCCUAAACGAUGUCAACUGGAUGUUGGGUCUUCACUGACUCAGUAACGAAGCUAACGCGUGAAGUUGACCGCCUGGGGAGUACGGCCGC